rnacentral:rRNA from 1 species
GUCGAGAAUAAUUCACAAUGGGGGAAACCCUGAUGGUGCAACGCCGCGUGGAGGAUGAAGGUCUUCGGAUUGUAAACUCCUGUCAUCUGGGAGUAAGACCUGACGGUGAAUAGCCGGCAGGGUUGAUAGUACCAGAAGAGGAAGGGACGGCUAACUUCGUGCCAGCAGCCGCGGUAAUACGAAGGUCCCAAGCGUUGUUCGGAAUCACUGGGCGUAAAGGGUGCGUAGGCGGCGUGGUAAGUCAGAUGUGAAAUCCCGGGGCUCAACCUCGGAACUGCAUCCGAUACUGCCAUGCUUGAGGGCUGGAGAGGUAACUGGAAUUCUCGGUGUAGCAGUGAAAUGCGUGGAUAUCGAGAGGAACACUCGUGGCGAAGGCGAGUUACUGGACAGCAUCUGACGCUGAGGCACGAAGGCCAGGGGAGCGAAAGGGAUUAGAUACCCCAGUAGUCC